GGUUUGGUGGUCUAGUAGUAUGAUUCACCCUUAGGGUUACAUCUCGCAAUGGGAUGAGAACAAUCUGGGUGAGGUCCCGGGUUCAAUUCCCGGCCAGACCC